ACUCCCACUAUACUGAGAAGCAGCAUGUGAUUGUGACCAAGUGGAGACAUGCAUUUCAGUUUAUUUCAUAUGAUGAAAUUUUGCUGGAAAGGUCAGGACUGUGAAGUAUUUAGCAGGAAAGAAACAGAUAACAUAAAGAAUGAAAGCUAGCAAGUCUGAUUUACAGUAAUUACUAACACUUCUUGUCCCAGUCAUGCAUGUGGUAUAAUAGAACCAGAAAACCUAAUCUCUGAACUGGACUGAUCUGGCAUGCUGCAUUGGAAGAAGCCUGUCUUCCUGAAGAAGGGCAGCUAGGAAAGUUUUGGGAGCAGGGCUGAGGGAGGUCACCUUGCUGGGGCUGCCUUUGCUCUACAGAACACUCAGUAAAGCAGGUUUUCAGCCUCUGGGUUGCAGAUUUUCAAAGACCAGGAGAACAAAAACAUCUUUAAAGAAUGUGAAAAUCUGAGAUGAAAACACACACACAAACAAACAAACUAACUACAAAGCAACAAGUCAUCCACAUCUGCUGUCAUGCCUGGUAAACCACAAGAUACAAGAAAAGCUGUGGGAUUGUCUAAGGCAGACAGUUAUCCAGGGUGCUUUGAUGCUUACCACAGGCAGUGCUUUUUCCAGGUGCAUCACCCUACAGACAAACCCUGCUGUGGGAAGAUCCACAGUUCUUGUUAGGCCUCAAAACUUCUAAAACUGCAUGAAGUUACAGCAUUGUUAGAAAGGUAAAGAGAAGUUUCUUGGUACAGUGUG